UACGUAGGGCGCAAGCGUUGUCCGGAAUUAUUGGGCGUAAAGAGCUCGUAGGCGGCCUGUUGCGUCCGCUGUGAAAUCCCGGGGCUUAACCCCGGGCCUGCAGUGGAUACGGGCAGGCUGGAGGCAGGCAGGGGAGAACGGAAUUCCCGGUGUAGCGGUGAAAUGCGCAGAUAUCGGGAGGAACACCGGUGGCGAAGGCGGGUCUCUGGGCCGAUAUUGACGCUGAGGAGCGAAAGCGUGGGGAGCGAACAGG
rnacentral:rRNA from 1 species